ACCAGUCGAGGAAACAAAGGUAGACGAACGAAAGAUGACGGAGAAUUCACCCCCAAAAACCAAAAAAAGAAAAGGAGUAGGAAUUAAAGAAAGCGAAGGCGGAGGGGAUUGAAUUCGUGUUGAUGGCGCCUGCUGAGGGCAUUGAAAUCUUUCCGCGGGUUGGUUUCUCUGUCAUCUGAUUUCUCCCUUUUCGUCCGUCGCCCACCGACAACAAAACAGAGGAUCGAGGCCUCCGGCGAAGGUCCCCUGGCACCUUUCCCUUCUUCUAUGUUCCUCCGUGCCGACGAAGAGGGCUCUGCUUUUACUUCUGUCGAGGCUGGAUCCGCCGACUGGCGGGAAGCUUAGGGAAUUAGGUUGGCUGAGAUCGGAGGAAGGCCUCCUCGGAUUCAUGGCGCCGGCUCGAUGCCAUUGGGUUCUGAGAACGUUGAUGCUUCCCGACCCAUUACCCUGGAAUUGCAAGGAUUACGUGCUCAAGGACUCCGUGAAGCAUGAGAGUCGGGGAUGCCCUUCGCGACAGCCGCGGCUCCUCGUCUGCCCCGCGGUGGUGGGAACCUUACUUCGGUCCCCGUGACUUCCACCGCGCCUCCUCUCGCCGUUCCCUCGCAGAUGAAGCUGCUCCAAGGACGAAGGACGGCGCCAAUGGCUGAUCUAUCUAUGGACACUUCAUUGGUGGUGGCACAUAAAAGACUACUAGUAUUUCUGGAUGUCAGUCACCGGCAACUCCGUGCUCUGCAACUUCAACUCGUCCGUCAUUAGGUUACAGAUCAAGUCUGAUGUUUUAUGUCAACAACAUGAAGCUGCAACCAUCGACAGCUCCGUUCCUUCACAGACAACUGAACCUUGCAAACUUGCGAUACAGCCUACGCCUAUUACACACUAUUUGACAGCCAUGGGCUGGGUGGCUGGCUGGCUGACUGCAUGGAGAAGACAACAAAGUCGCUAGUAGAGCUGUUCUCUUCUGUCCCGCAACCACCUCCACCUGCAACGAGACACAAAGUUCUGCUUUAGUAUCUCUGCCGUGCUUGGCGCAGAGAGGAGAGUAGCAAAGUGGGUCCGAGUACCAGAAGUAGUCCCAGCGGGGGCGUAUCUUCGACAUCCGGUUCUCUUCGUAGGGAUACUCGGAUUCAGCGCGGCGGGCGUUGCGGAAGGCGCAGCAGCCGAUGGUGUAGAUGGCGAUGAGGAAGAUGAGGACGACGACGUUGAGGACGGACAGCUUGUGCCAGUCCCUCCGCACCUGCUCCAGCACGCCAGCCUUGCACGAGUCGCAGGCGUAGCACAGCACGUUGGCUGCGUUGUUCCACCGGUAGCAGUCCUCGUCUUGCGCCAUCACCACCCCCCCGGCGCCGUAGGUGCACGAUGUCGGCGGCUUGCAGCAGCCCGACUGCAUCGCAUGUUGACGGUGAGCGUCGGAUCAGAUACGAUCGAUCGUUCCGAUGAGUUUGACUCGUGGUCGUAGUGACAGAAGCUACUCAUCUGAGAAGGAGACGAGGAUAGAGAGUUGCCGAGCGUUACCUGUAUCGGGGAGAGGUCUCGCUGGAGAUAGUCCAGAGGCGUCCAGAGAGCGAUCUUGGCGCAGGUCUUCGACCCGACGACGCAUGCCAUCGCCGCCUUCCAGUACUGCCGCUCCGUGAUCCUUCGGCGGAGCCAUCCGGUGUAGUAGUCGAGGCGGUACUCGUGGUAGGGGCGACCAGGGACCUGGACCCCGCCGCCGCCGGCUGUGACAGCGAAGCCGAAGGCGGUGAGGCCGAGGAGGGUCCCGAUGAGGAGCAGCAUGACGAGGAGGUAGAGCCACAGCGCCCAGGCCACGUUGAAGCACGCGCCUACGAAGCCGGCCAGGGAGACGAGGAGCACCACGAAGCCCAGCACCAGGAGCGGCGUCUGCAGCGACGACUCGCACGUCGCCGAGCUCUUCGACAUCCACAGCCCGCCGCCGAUGAUCGGGACCGAUGCCAGGAGCGUCAACAGGUUCAGGCACCCGAUCACCGAGUUGCUGAAGCGCUUUGAGGCGUCAGUGCGAUUGAUUGAUUGAUUCCAAAGAAUAAUGUUGCUGGCCCAGAGCAUCCAAGCUUUUCGAAAGCUGGGUUGCUGAGGGGGAAGAGCCUCCCGUCCUUUUUUUGGCCAUGGAUUGAUUGCCAAUGGAGAUUCCCCAUUAGUGCUCGACAGAAUAACUUGGUGUUGCUUUACGAGAGGAUAAGAGCAGAAGAGACCACAACCCUGAUCCACUCCGGAGAACUUGUUCUGAUGAUACUGUAGCAAAGGGGAGUGUAUCUGCAACCCCAUGGAACAAAGGAGAGCAUCUUGUACCAAGUUGAGGGGGGCCGAGAAGCUAGAGAACCAUCGAGAUGACUUCUAUCAGGAAGAUGGUUUUCCUGCCCCUGUCCCUGUCCCGAACAAGAGAACGGUGGGAUGAUACCUCCAGCGAGAGCCCCAUGGAAAAGCUCAAAGUCAGCAUCAUAGGAUUCCACUCUCCUCGCACCGGUGAUCAUCUUAGCAGCUGAUUCAACCCGUUCCUCGUUCGUCUCCCUGCCCUCCUUCUCUGAAGGGGGUGCACUCGAGAAGGCCUCCCAGAAUUCCGAGGGCUCCUCCCCUUCUUCAACCGUGGCAUGUGGCCCCUGAACCUGCUCGUACCUUACCACCUGUAAGGCGGCAGCUUUUGCAUCCUCCUCCAUAGCGGGUUCACAGUCGUUACCGAUCCACACAUACAAGGAUGAGAGGACAUGAACGAUGAAUGCUCCCCUGGAAUCCAAAGCGGCAGGAGAUGGGUCGUUCAACAUCCUGGGGACGAGAUGCAGAGGAUCGUACGGUGAGUGCGGAGCCAUUCGGUACAUCGUCAGCACCGGAGCGGGACUCGGGGGGAUGGCGUGGACCCUCUUCUGGCACUGCAGCAAUUGACAAGCGAAGCCCAUGUUGGGGUUGGCGAUCCCCCUUGCCGUCUUCACAAACCGGAAUGCAUCAUCGAAGCUCUGCCCUUCUCUCCACAUCAGGUAAGCUAUUACCAGAGAAGUCGACCGUGAAACACCCUGGCAGCAAUGGACGAACACCCUCCCACCUUGCUCCCGCACAUCCUCAAAGUAAUCGAACACAUCAUACAGAAUACUAAUGAUGUCCUCCGACGGGCUGUCCUGCAACCAAAGAGUCUUGUAGAUGAGGUCUGAUUUGAAGUACUCGGGGCAAACAAAACCAACACAGUUGAGGA